rnacentral:rRNA from 1 species
UCGACGAUGAUCAGGAGCUUGCUUCUGUGAUUAGUGGCGAACGGGUGAGUAACACGUGAGUAACCUGCCCCUGACUCUGGGAUAAGCGUUGGAAACGACGUCUAAUACUGGAUAUGACUUCCGGCCGCAUGGUCUGGUUGUGGAAAGAUUUUUUGGUUGGGGAUGGACUCGCGGCCUAUCAGCUUGUUGGUGAGGUAAUGGCUCACCAAGGCGACGACGGGUAGCCGGCCUGAGAGGGUGACCGGCCACACUGGGACUGAGACACGGCCCAGACUCCUACGGGAGGCAGCAGUGGGGAAUAUUGCACAAUGGGCGAAAGCCUGAUGCAGCAACGCCGCGUGAGGGAUGACGGCCUUCGGGUUGUAAACCUCUUUUAGUAGGGAAGAAGCGAAAGUGACGGUACCUGCAGAAAAAGCACCGGCUAACUACGUGCCAGCAGCCGCGGUAAUACGUAGGGUGCAAGCGUUGUCCGGAAUUAUUGGGCGUAAAGAGCUCGUAGGCGGUUUGUCGCGUCUGCUG